CCUACGGGAGGCAGCAGUGGGGGAUAUUGCACAAUGGGGGAAACCCUGAUGCAGCGACGCCGCGUGGGCGAAGAAGUAUUUCGGUAUGUAAAGCCCUAUCAGCAGGGAAGAAGAAAUGACGGUACCUGAGUAAGAAGCACCGGCUAAAUACGUGCCAGCAGCCGCGGUAAUACGUAUGGUGCAAGCGUUAGCCGGAUUUACUGGGUGGAAAGGGAGCGCAGGCGGCACGGCAAGCCUGAUGUGAAAGCCCGCGGCCCAACCGCGGGACUGCAUUGGGAACUACCGGGCUGGAGUGCCGGAGAGGUAGGCGGAAUUCCUAGUGUAGCGGUGAAAUGCGUAGAUAUUAGGAGGAACACCAGUGGCGAAGGCGGCCUACUGGAUGGUGACUGACGCUGAGGCUCGAAAGCGUGGGGAGCAAACAGGAUUAGAUACCCUUGUAGUC
rnacentral:rRNA from 1 species